rnacentral:sRNA from 1 species
CCAAUAGCGUAUAUUAAAGUUGUUGCAGUUAAAAAGCUCGUAGUUGAAUUUCGGGAUCAAUAUGCUGGUCGUGCCAUUGGUACGUACUAGUAUUAUUGGUUUCUCCUUUCUGAUGAAUCAUGAUGUCAUUAAUUUGAUGUCAUGAGGAAUCAGGACUGUUACUUUGAAAAAAUUAGAGUGUUUAAAGCAGGCUCGCGCUUGAAUACAUUAGCAUGGAAUAAUGAAAUAGGAUGUUUGAUUCUAUUUUGUUGGUUUCUAGGAUUGACGUAAUGAUUAAUAGGGAUAGUUGGGGGCAUUAGUAUUCAAUUGUCAGAGGUGAAAUUCUUGGAUUUAUUGAAGACUAACUACUGCGAAAGCAUUUGCCAAGGAUGUUUUCAUUAAUCAAGAACGAAAGUUAGGGGAUCGAAGACGAUCAGAUACCGUCGUAGUCUUAACCAUAAACUAUGCCGACUAGGGAUCGGAUGAUGUUAAUUUUUUAAUGACUCAUUCGGCGCCUUACG